GAUCUGGACUGCUCUGCUGCUGCUGACACACUGAGACUCCUCCACUCCCUCUGCUCCACACUCAGCCACCUCCUCCACCUGGACCUGGACCUUUUCUUUCUUUCUGUGGUUCUCUCUGUGUUUCUUUAAUGCUCCACGCUGUUGAAUGAUGGAGAGCUGCCUUCAUUGUCACGUUUUAUACUGUAUCAUGGAGGUUGAUGGAGUGGAAGUCUGAUCCUCAUCAGUGCUGGAUUACAUUUCUGUAUCCUGGUGCUUUUUCCUUCUGCAGGAAACAGCAGAUAGCACCGUCACUACUCGUACUUUGAAGAACAUGGAAGGAUGUCUGUGAUGGAGAGCAGAUCUGACUUCAGCUGCCAGUUUGUUGGUUUGGACAGCAGGUGGUGCUGCUGCAUCAACAAUCAGCUGAGACUCCAACAGUGUCAGAGAGUCAGUAGCUGAGGAUGGAGUCAGUGAUGGAGGUGUAGAAGUGCACCAUCUUCGUCAUUGGCAGGUUGAACUUGUUCAGCUGCCACAGGAAGUUCAUGUCUUUGAAGGCUUUCUUGGUGAGGGAGCUGAUGUUCAAAUGUAAAUACCUGAAACUGAGGUUAAAUUACAGUCAGAUGCGAUGAAAUCUGUUGCACAGACCCAGCUUCAAACUGGACAAACCGGGACGUCCAGUCAUCUUCAAGGCUGCUGUACAGUAGAUUAGAUUAGUUUAGCAUUAAGACUAGAAAAUGAACAUGUGCGUCUAUAAAAUGUUGAACUAUUCCUUUAAAUAAACAGAAAGAUUGCCUCACUGUCAA